GCCGAAGGAUACUAUUGUGAUGAUAUUGACACCCGACAAUUCCGGAGGAUACUAUAUCAAUGAUAUUGAUACCUGAUAAGUCGGAGGAUACUAUAGUGAUGCUAUUGAUACCCGACAAGGCCGUAGGAUACUACAGUGAUGCUAUUGAUAUAUGGCAAUAUCGGAGGGUACCAUUGUGAUGAUAUAGAUACCCGGUAAGGCUGUAGGAUACUAUUAUGAUAAUAUUGAUAUCUGGCAAG
rnacentral:lncRNA from 1 species